rnacentral:tRNA from 1 species
GUGCACCUGGGCUGUAGGAAACCCUAGACCCUUUCAUAGGACUCUGACUCAGCAUCGCCGUCUGGUAUCCGCCAACCUCAAGGACAACAGCAGCGUCCAGCCUCUUCCCGAAGGGACAGCAGCUCCUCCUCCUGCCAUCCCCUCCUUGGGCAGCUUGCAGAGCCCCAAGGUGUUGGGUUCUAUUGUUCAGCACUCAAGUGUGCUGCCUUCCAGCAACUGCGAGCCCCACUGAUCUGCCAGAAGCUCACUGACCUCAGGGCAGCAAAGCCUCUCACACCUGAGCAUCCUGGGCCUGGCCCCUCCCCUUCCCCCGGANNCGCUCUUCCCAGUGACGAUUUGUGUUUCGUUAGGCGUGAAGGGUGUGACUUUGCCUUUACUGCAAUCAUCUCUUGGGAGAGACCCCGCACCAUAAUCCCAAAGGGCAACUCAGCUUUCUCCUCAUUGGAAUCAACUUAAUGACAAAGGGAUAAGAGAAAUGGUCUGGCUCUGUGGCUUAGUUGGCUAAAGUGCCUGUCUCGUAAACAGGAGAUUCUGGGUUCAAAUUCCAGCAGGGCCUUGGCAAGUGAAGUGUACAUCUUAGAUCUGAAAUCAUCUUCACUCACAAAAUGCCCUGCUUGGAACUGUCAUUUCUCCAACCCCUCGUUAUUCCAUGUACGUUUUUUCUUUUUCCCCAAAACUGCAGUUUCUCUGACACUGACACUUACUGAGUGCUCGGGAUCUGUUAUGAACAUGAAACUUCUGAAUUGAAACCAGAAAUCUCUGGAUUAGGACCAUUUGAAAAUACACUCUUAGGGCUGGGGAUUUAGCUCAGUAGUUCUGCCACCUGCCUCGCAAGCGCAAGUUCCCGAGUUCGAUCCCCAGUACAAAAAUAAAAUAAAAUAAAAAUACACUCUGCUGACUUCACAAAGUGCAAACAAUCUUAAAGUACGCAUAUGUGAAAACUGAUCCUAACUCACCGAACACUUCUGUGUCGCAUUUCAUAUCUUCUCAACACUUCCAAUCUACAGAAAUACUAAUGU